GGGUCAUUAGGUUGGUCGUGCCACCGGUACGUACUGGUCUCACUGAUUCCUCCUUCCUGAAGAACCGUAAUGCCAUUAAUUUGGUGUUGCGGGGAAACAGGACUGUUACUUUGAAAAAAUUAGAGUAUUUAAAGCAAGCUAACGCUUGAAUACAUUAGCAUGGAAUAAUGAAAUAGGACGAUCGAUCCUAUUUUGUUGGUUUCUAGGAUUGACGUA
rnacentral:rRNA from 1 species